GUGGCGCAUCAAACUAUGCGAAGGAGAAAACAAACGCGCGCUGCUGCUGCUGUGACGCACCAGGGCCUGUUGUUCCUCCCUCCUCCCUGAGGGAAAACUGCUCCCCAGCCUACAUCCGUGACCCCCCAUCCAUGGUAACAGGACUUGCCAUCAUGUCAGACUCCAGAUCAGGCCAAAUGCAGGCAGACCAGUUGCUUUUCAUUGCUUCAAAGUAAAUAAAAACACGAGUAUUUACAGAUUUA